GAAUUCCUUCAGAGACAUUUUACUAAAUCAGAUGCACGGAAGGUCCUAUUAGAAUUUCAAAAGGAUUUCUAUGGGCAGCUGAAAAAUUUAAGCCUGGAUGAUAUAGAGAGACUAGCAGCCAGCAAGCUACGUGUGAAUGCUAACGGAAAUGUAAACGGACAUGAGCGAAUGACUUGACAUUUAAUUACACUUUAUUAUAUCUUUGCAAUUUUAUCUUUAUUAUGUGUCAUCUGGAAUGGUCUAAAACUAACAUGAUUAGGAGUUGAUAUACAUAUAUAUAUAGGAAAGUUGUGAAAAUUCCUUGUUUAGUGAAUUAUUGUAAACUUUAAUUACCAGCUGUAGUUUUUCUUUUCUUUUUUUUUAAAAAUUUUCAAAUUCAGUAAGUUAAAGAGUAUGGAACUAACUGUUAACUGGUUUCAUGUCCAAGUUCUAUCAAGGUAGAGUCUUUGUCAGAUAUUGGGUGUUUUAAAUUCAAACAUUUUAAAAUUGCUAUGGGGUAGAUUAAAGAAAGGAUAUGAGAACACAAGAUGCACAGUAUUUUUAACAAUUUCCUGGUACAUGUAAUACACCUAUGUAAAACAAUGAAUACACUUUGAAAGUAAAUUACUAUUACAGUUUACUUCAUAUUUUCCACCCAAAGUAAAGCCAUUGAAGAAAAUUUCCCAACACUCCACUUUUAUAUUGAAUGUUUUUUUUUAUGUCAACCUAUAUGAUGUGUUUAUGUGAAAAGAAUUUGAAAUAAUUUGUCAUAAAAUCUGGAAAUAAACGAUGUCCAUCUCAAGAGCAAUAGAAUUUCAUAGAGAUAACAUGGUCUCCACUUUAUUUUUAACGACAUUUUAUACAAUCUAAUAUUGUUAACACUCGCUGUAGUAAAGAGCAGCAUCAUCAGCAAGGCUUACAAAUGAGAAGUCUGUCGUUGUUGACCCACUGGACAGGAGGGUUCCUAUUUCCGGCAUUAUUUCAGUAUAGAUGAAUUUCCUUGUGUAUUUUCUGCUCUUGAUUGGUAGAUCAAUGUCGACAUCAACUACAAAAUCCUGUGUACUAGGACUUAAUUAAUGUAUAUCAUUAUGUGUGCUUGUUUAAUGAACUUCACAUACAUUUUGACUCAAAUUAAUUUUAUUAUAAAGGAUGGAUAUAUUCUGUUUUGUGUUAAUUAUUUAUUCAGGUUUUCAGUGAAUCAAUUACAAUAUAUAGAUUGCAUAUAUUUUAUCGUUCAUAACUUUGCAAAUUUCAUAGGAUACUUGAAUUUGUGAUCAAUGCUUAUUACAUGAAUUUUAUUAAUAUCAUGACAUAUAUAAGUAAAUCUAAAUGUAUUAUUAAACCUUUUUUAAUGAUUUGUUUCGUCUGUUUUAUAUGAACAUGUACAUUGUAUGUUGAAAUAAUUGUGUACUGAUAAUUAUGACAGCAAGUUGAUUUUCUGUGGGAGUUCCAAAUUUUGCUGACUGUGAUAAAGGCACAUUGUUUAUACAUGCGUUGUAUGACCUGGUGACAUAACUGGUAGAAAUAUCCGACCAAGUGAAUGUGGACUAGAAGUGUAGGAUUCCUAGGAGUCUGAAACUAUAUAUGUUCAUCGUCACUUUUUACUAAUAAUUGACUUAUGUGUCUUUGAUAUCCAUUAAAGUAUUUGAAAUCAU
rnacentral:lncRNA from 1 species